rnacentral:rRNA from 1 species
GUGAGGAAUUUUCCGCAAUGGGCGAAAGCCUGACGGAGCAAUGCCACGUGAAGGAUGAAGGCCUAUGGGUUGUAAACUUCUUUUCUCAGAAAAGAAUUAUGACGGUAUCUGAGGAAUAAGCAUCGGCUAACUCUGUGCCAGCAGCCGCGGUAAGACAGAGGAUGCAAGCGUUAUCCGGAAUGAUUGGGCGUAAAGCGUCUGUAGGUUGUUUAAAAAGUAUUCUGUCAAAGAUUAGGGCUUAACCCUAGAUAGGCAGAAUAAACUUUUAAGCUAGAGUUUGGUAGAGGCAGAGGGAAUUCCCGGUGGAGCGGUGAAAUGCGUAGAUAUCGGGAGGAACACCAAAGGCGAAGGCACUCUGCUGUGCCAAUACUAACACUGAGAGACGAAAGCGAGGGGAGCAAAUGGGAUUAGAUACCCCAGUAGUCC